UACGUAGGUGGCAAGCGUUGUCCGGAUUUAUUGGGUUUAAAGGGUGCGUAGGCGGUGACUUAAGUCAGUUGUGAAAUACGGCAGCUUAACUGUCGAGGUGCAAUUGAUACUGGGACACUUGAGUACUGAUGAGGUAAGCGGAAUAUGUCAUGUAGCGGUGAAAUGCUUAGAUAUGACAUAGAACACCAAUUGCGAAGGCAGCUUACUACACAAUGAUUGACGCUGAGGCACGAAAGCGUGGGGAUCAAACAGG
rnacentral:rRNA from 1 species